UCAUCACUGUCCUCAUCUUUUUUCUUUGUUUUUUCUAUCUAAAUUGUUGACAUGAUUCGUCUCUCUUAUGAAUCUAGCAACAUCUUGUGUUCUUUAUUUAGCCAUUCAAUCAUUGAAAACCAAGGGGCAUAUACAUUAAGCUUUUGCAUUUGGAAACUUCAGAAGCUAGCUAAUUAAAUUGAGCACUAGAGAUUUUAAGUUCAUAUACGCAAAACAAAGUAAAGGAUUUAUUAAAAUUAUAGAGGGAAUUAUUGUCCUUUUUCUUGAUUAUAGACUUUCUCAGUUUUCCAAGUGGGCCCUCUCAGGAUGGGUUCAUCUUUUGAAGAACUUGAGGUUCUAUUCUCUUUCAAACUCUGGAAGCUUGACUAGUGUGUGAGCUCAAUUGAAUAAAUUCUUCAAGUUUUUGGCUAUUGAUCCUUGGCCACAUACAUUAACAACAAUAAAUUGAGGAAUCUUUUGUGCUUGUUUCAUGUGCUACAACUAUGUUUUCAUAUCAGAUGGUUAUUCAGAAUAAUCACUACAUAUUAUAAUCCUUUGUGUAUAUAGUUGGGUAACAAUCCUUUUGCAUUUGUGGAAUUUAAAUUGUUUAAUCUAUUACUGAUGGCCCUAGUAUCCCAUUGUAGAUGAAAUGGGAAGAUUCUACUUAGGAGCAGCAUAUAGCAAUUGUGAUUCCCCAUAGCUGAUGUAUGUGCUCCCAUACAAUGCCUAACCACAUUAUGGAAGCUAUUAGACAUUUGAUUGUCCAAGAUUUUCAUCAUUAAAAGGAAGGAUGUACCGAAGGUAAUGCCCCAGGUUUUCCAAGAUUGUCAUCUAAAGCAGAUAGAUUGUUAUGUCACCCACCAAGAAGCAUCUUGAAGCUUAUGUGAUAUCAGAAAAAGCUGGUGUGGAAAAUUGACAGCAAUGGGGAGCUUGAUGAUGCGUGCAUGUUAUAUGGAGUUCUUUAAGUGGACAAUAUAAGGAAGUUCGACUUGAAAUUCAAAACAAAUUGAACAAGUGGGUUAGCCUAUUUUUUCUUUUGGGAUCAAAUUAUAAUGAUCAACUGGAACCAUAACUUGUGUAUGUAUCUGCAAUUGUUGAUUGGGUAUAUUUAGUAUCACUAGCAACAAUGCAUCAAGUAUGGCCUAGGCUUUCCUUUGGUUUACACUUUAUGCCAUGGUUGCUUCCAUUUCCUAUCUAUAUAAUCAGAAAUAGCUCUUUUCUUUCUUGAAUAUAUUUGGUUUCUGACAAUUUGUCCCCUUUUCAAAUCUUAUGUUAUGGCUCCCUAACUUAAAGUUGCCGUAGUAGUGACUUCAACACUUUUAUAGAUUCUGAGUCAAUUACAGAGACUAUGAAAUUCUGUCUUUAGAUUUGUGCAAGAAAUUGAAGAGUCCAAUAAGGAAGAACAACUUGAAACUCGAAUUUGAUGCAUUUUUGCCUGAGAUCAAGUUAUGGAUUUUGACUUUUGGCAGAAGAUAAAGUUCCCAAUAAAGAGGAGAAUGUUGAAAUUUGAAUAUGGGUUUUGCUUACUGCCCAAACAUAGAAUGGAUGGCUAAUGU